GACGAACGCUGGCGGCGUGCUUAACACAUGCAAGUCGAACGGGAAGGCCCUGCUUUUGUGGGGUGCUCGAGUGGCGAACGGGUGAGUAACACGUGGGUAACCUACACUUGACUUUGGGAUAACUUAAGGAAACUGGGGGUAAUCCCGGCAAGGAGCUCCUGCUGCAUGGUGGGGGUUGGAAAGUUUAGGCGGUUGGGGGUGGACACGCGGCUUAUGAGGUUGAUGGGGGGGUAGUGGCUUACCAAGGCCUUGACGGGUGGCCGGGCUGAGAGGGGGACCGGCCACAUUGGGACUGAGAUACGGCCCAGACUCCUACGGGAGGCAGCAGUGGGGAAUAUUGCACAAUGGGCGGAAGCCUGAUGCAGCACCGCCGCGUGGGGGAUGACGGCCUGCGGGUUGUAAACCGCUUUCGCCUGUGACGAAGCGUGAGUGACGGUAAUGGGUAAAUAAGCACCGGCUAACUACGUG
rnacentral:rRNA from 1 species